rnacentral:rRNA from 1 species
AGCGAACGCUGGCGGCAGGCCUAACACAUGCAAGUCGAACGGCUCCUCCGGGAUUACUGGCUGUCGGGUGAGUAACACGUGGGAACGUGCCCUUUGGUUCGGAACAACUCAGGGUAACUUGAGCUAAUACCGGAUGUGUCCUUCGGGGGAAAGAUUUAUCGCCAUUGGAGCGGCCCGCGUCUGAUUAGCUUGGUGGUAUGGUAACGGCCCAUCAAGGCGACGAUCAGUAGCGGGUCUGAGAGGCUGAUCAGCCACACUGGGACUGAGACGCGGCCCAGACUCCUACGGGAUGCAGCAGUGGGUAAUCUUGCGCAAUGGGCGAAAGCCUGACGCAGCUAGGCUGCGUGAAUGAUUAAGGUCUUAGGAAAGUAAAAUUCUUUCAGCGGGGGCGAUAAUGACGGUACCCGCAGAAGAAGCACCGGCUAACUUCGUG